rnacentral:misc_RNA from 1 species
AUUUUAGUGUUAUUUCUAAAUUGAAUGAGACUUCUAAUCAGAUUAGGAUUGAGCGUAUAAAUAGGAGAAUAAUGAAAAGAUUAUUUAGCUUUGCCCAUAGGGACUAGCUUUGCCCAUGGAGAGAGGUUGUCGUCUAUUGUAGAGAGGGAUUUUGCCAAUUGCUGAGGAUUUAGCUUCACUUAUUUAUGAGGGGUACUUACCCAUUACAGUGGAGAGAGACUUCGG